rnacentral:rRNA from 1 species
CUGGCGCCCUACACGAUCUUCUACCAACCCCGCACCACCAUCAAGUCCCAAGCGUUGGCCGACUUCCUCGUCGACUGGGCCGAGACCCAGCACCUACCGCCGGCUCCCGACUCUACCCAUUGGCGGAUGCACUUUGACGGGUCCAAGAUGCGCACCGGCUUGGGAGCCGGCAUCGUCCUCACCUCUCCCAAAGGCGACAAGCUCAAGUACACACUGCAGAUCCACUUCGCCGCCUCCAACAACAUGGCCGAGUACGAGGCGCUCGUACACGGGCUUCGGCUAGCCAAAGAGCUCGGCAUACGCCGGAUCCUGUGUUACGGCGACUCAGACUUGGUGGUCCAGCAGUCGUCUGGCGACUGGGACGCCAAGGACGCGAACAUGGCGAGCUAUCAAUUCCUCGUCCAGCAGAUCAGCGGAUACUUUGAAGGGUGCGAGUUCCUUCACGUGCCAAGGGCCGACAACGACCAAGCAGAUGCCCUAGCACGGAUCAGCUCCACCCGACAAACCAUACCGACUGGCGUCUCCCUCUAG